GAUGAACGCUGGCGGCGUGCCUAAUACAUGCAAGUCGAGCGAACGGACGAGAAGCUUGCUUCUCUGAUGUUAGCGGCGGACGGGUGAGUAACACGUGGAUAACCUACCUAUAAGACUGGGAUAACUUCGGGAAACCGGAGCUAAUACCGGAUAAUAUUUUGAACCGCAUGGUUCACAAGUAAAAGACGGUCUUGCUGUCACUUAUAGAUGGAUCCGCGCUGCAUUAGCUAGUUGGUAAGGUAACGGCUUACCAAGGCAACGAUGCAUAGCCGACCUGAGAGGGUGAUCGGCCACACUGGAACUGAGACACGGUCCAGACUACUACGGGAGGCAGCAGUAGGGAAUCUUCCGCAAUGGGCGAAAGCCUGACGGAGCAACGCCGCGUGAGUGAUGAAGGUCUUCGGAUCGUAAAACUCUGUUAUUAGGGAAGAACAUAUGUGUAAGUAACUGUGCACAUCUUGACGGUACCUAAUCAGAAAGCCACGGCUAACUACGUG
rnacentral:rRNA from 1 species